UUCAAGUCGUCUAAAUUAUCUGAAAUGACUUUUACGACUACUGUCGAUUUAGCAGCAUUAGUCACAAGUGUGACAAGUUUAUCAACUUCACAAUCGCAUGUUUUUACAUGUUUUAACAUUUUGAAAUAAAUCUCUUGUAAAUUGCUUUCACCCUGAGAUUCAGUAAAAGACACCUGAUCGUACAGCGCGGCACAUAUCCAAGUCAGCAUCAGCAGCCAUAGUAUGAGAGUACCACGCACUGCCCAUCGAAGUGCACAGCGGACUUCUGUACCGAUGUUAGGCUCCUGUGCCUUAAUGGGGCCUCCCCGAUUACGAUCUCGUCUGCAAUAUUUGAUAAAUGUUAAAACUUUUUUUUAACAAUUCUUUUCUUUAAUAAUAGAACCAUCUAUAGCUAUCAUCGACUUUAUGAACCAUUAUUUUGUUCAAAGAUUUGUCAAUAAAAUACAUUUUUACCUGGUGA